AGCUCCAAUAGCGUAUAUUAAAGUUGUUGCGGUUAAAAAGCUCGUAGUUGGAUUUCUGUUGAGGUCGACCGGUGUGCACUUCGUGCAUUAUUUGGUUCGGUCUUGACAUCCUCUCGGGGAACGUGGACUUCAUUGCUCACGGGAUUCGAGACUUUUACUUUGAGGAAAUUAGAGUGUUCACGGCAGGCAAGUGCUUUGAAUACAUUAGCAUGGAAUAAUAAUAUAGGACCUUUGGUUCUAUUUUGUUGGUUUCUAGAACCUAGGUAAUGAUUAAUAGGGACAAUUGGGGGCAUUCGUAUUAACGCGUCAGAGGUGGAAUUCUUGGAUUGCGUUACGACGAACUACUGCGAAAGC
rnacentral:rRNA from 1 species